GGUUUUGUGGUGUAAUGGAUAGCACAUAAAACUACGGAUUUUAGAGUGAGGGUUCGAGUCCUUCCAAAACCA
rfam:Candidatus Magnetobacterium bavaricum SAG41221, whole genome shotgun sequence.